CCUUGUGGAGGAGGACGCCGAAGGUGGGGCUAAUGACUGGGGUGAAGUCGUAACAAGGUAGCCGUACCGGAAGGUGCGGCUGGAUCACCUCCUAACAGGGAGACAACAAAAUGUUUAAUAUUAUUUUGUCACCUUAGGUCGAUCGGUAUCUCACGUUCUUAAUUUAUUAAGAAUUUCAUUUCCUAAGUUUUUCUAGGUCACACCCAUUAUUUUCCUGGGCCAUUAGCUCAGGUGGUUAGAGCGCACCCCUGAUAAGGGUGAGGUCCCUGGUUCAAGUCCAGGAUGGCCCAUAUCUCUAUGUUGGGGGUAUAGCUCAGUUGGUAGAGCGCCUGCUUUGCAAGCAGGAUGUCAGCGGUUCGAGUCCGCUUACCUCCACUGAUUACCACCUCUUCCAUAAUUUGUAGAAAGGAAAAUUCUUUGAGUUGUGAUCAUUAUUCUGAACGAAUCUAGCUUCCUAAUGAAACCAUUAAGAUGCUGGACUCAUUGAAUUUAUUUCAUUGUUUUCAGAGAACCUUGACAACUGCAUAGAUUAUUUUUAAAGACAAUAAGCAUCUUUAAUGAUGCAGAUUUAUUAUUUGUGCAAAUGCAUUAAUAACAAUUCUAUUAAGCUGAUGCUUCAAUUAUGAAGUUAUUGGUCAAGCUACAAAGGGCUCACGGAGG
rnacentral:misc_RNA from 1 species